rnacentral:rRNA from 1 species
GAUGAACGCUGGCGGCGUGCCUAAUACAUGCAAGUCGAGCGAACAGACGAGGAGCUUGCUCCUUCGACGUUAGCGGCGGACGGGUGAGUAACACGUAGGUAACCUACCUAUAAGACUGGGAUAACUUCGGGAAACCGGAGCUAAUACCGGAUAAUAUUUCGAACCGCAUGGUUCGAUAGUGAAAGAUGGCUUUGCUAUCACUUAUAGAUGGACCUGCGCCGUAUUAGCUAGUUGGUAAGGUAACGGCUUACCAAGGCAACGAUACGUAGCCGACCUGAGAGGGUGAUCGGCCACACUGGAACUGAGACACGGUCCAGACUCCUACGGGAGGCAGCAGUAGGGAAUCUUCGGCAAUGGGCGAAAGCCUGACGGAGCAACGCCGCGUGAGUGAAGAAGGUCUUCGGAUCGUAAAACUCUGUUAUUAGGGAAGAACAAACGUGUAAGUAACUGUGCACGUCUUGACGGUACCUAAUCAGAAAGCCACGGCUAACUACGUG